AGUCUCUUAGCUCAGCUGGUUAGAGCGCUACACUGAUAAUGUAGAGGUCUCCGGUUCAAAUCCGGGAGGGACUA
rnacentral:tRNA from 1 species